UGAAAUUUCGCUUUCGCCAUUACUGCUUACCUCCAAAAUGUUCUGCGCCGGCUGCGCAGAAGCAAGGGCAGGUGGCAGAGAACCAGAAUCUCCAGCACCCGCUCAACCCAUAUAACUGAACCCGAACCCGGAUUCAAGUUCGGGUCUAAAGUCCAAACAAUACUGGUAAUCAUGGGGAGCAACCGGGUCUGGCAAUUCCAAACAUGCUAAAUCAUCAACGCCGACUCCAUGCAGGUAAGCACAAAACUGAAAGCUUAAAUUUUUAUUUCUGGGUUUCGUGUAAAGCUUUAUAAAUUAACUCGUCUCUUUUUCUUUUUUGGGAAAUUUGUUCUUUGGCCGUGUUUUAACAGGUAUACUAGGGAUUAGAUGUUCUUACUAAUAACGUGCCCAGGGUCUGUUUAGUUUUCAUUUUAAUAGUUAAAUAGUUACUAUAUUUGAUUGCUAAUGUGUUAGUUUUAGUGUUCCCUGUUUUGUAUUUGUUGAUAUGGAUGUUUGGCUAGGAUUGCCACAUUGUUUGUUGGGGGCAAUCAGCCCGAACGUUGAAUUUACAGCUAAACAUUUUCGGGAUGCUGCUAUUAUUCCUGUAAGAUAUUUUUAGAAAAGUUAUCAAUUUUUGUUGUGAGAUUAGUACUUCUAUUGCAAUGUGAAUGUUACUUGCAGCAUUUUUGGUGGGAUCAUUCAUCAUUGUGAAUUGCGGAUUAUAAAUGACGGUUGUAAUUGAUGUUGUGUUUUUAUAAUGUCUGCAUGUGAAUUAAAUUGGUUUCAAGUAGUUCAUUUUGAAUUGAAGGGGCAAUGUGGUUAGGUCGAGCUUGAGUGUGUCUCAACCAAUAAACGGAUGAGGUUCUGCUAUGCUCGAAUAGGAUUGAUCAGCACUUGAGCAUGGUCAAACUAGAGUUCGGAGUAGUCAAUUAUUGCUUUUAAUCUUGGGUGCUCAAGUGCACUGGAACUUGAGUUGGAGCAGCUGGUAAAGUAUUUUUGUUUUUUAACCGAGCUUAAUUUAGUAAGUAUACCAGUAAAAUAUUGUUUUUUGGAAAUGUAUAAUAUACAUGAAGAAAUUAGCUUCAACAACUUUGCUAGCCGAGUAUCCAACUUGAGUUUGGUUGGAAUAUGCGCUCAAGUGAUUGGUUACGGUCAAGUGGUGUCAAGUUUUUGAGUGUAUCAAGCUUGAGCUGCUCGCGAGCAGCUUGGUUUUUCGGUGGAACUAAGCUGAAGUUUGCUGCAAAGCGGCACGAUGCUUCAAUCUUUUUUGUUGUUGGUUUGUUACAACUGGUAGUGCCUUGCUAGUUGGCUUUGGAAGUUCCAAAAUGAGCCAGAAACUCUUACUAUGUUUUUCCCGACCCAUGUACUCCUUUGAGGUUUCGAAGCCAAACCUGCGCAUGAGAUGAUACAAUUUCAUUUCACUGAUUUUGUGAACUCAAGGGAUGAAAAUCUUUUAUAGAGAAAGCCUUAACAUCUUAAUCAUAAUUGACGAAGGACGAGAACCAGUAGGAACUAGGAACAGAAAGUUUCCCCCUUUCUAAUGCUGUUUUGUACAUCGUUAAUAGUUUCACUUUGUCUUAUUUGUCUGAGAAGCUACUAUUCUCAAGAAGCUGUAUUAGUGUGAAAUUGUUUCAUUAUGCAUCCGUUCUUUUUGGCCAUCACAUUCUAUAACUUCAUUCAUGAUUGAUUUUCUAGAUAAUCAGGGUGAUAUGGUCAAAUUGAAACUUUAUUUCAGGUAAAUCUUUAUUAACUUUUAUGUCAAAUUGAAACUGCUCUUCAAUCCAGCGUCUAGACAGUUGGACUCUGACAGCCUUCCGGUUAUCUUGUUUUUGCUGGCAUGGUAUAAGAUAUUACAUGUCAAGGAGAUAUAUAUAUAUGCAACUCUUUCCUCCUAAAAUUGAUAUUUCACAGCGUUAUAUUCGUUUUUUUUUUAACAUAAUACUGUGUAGACUUUGAUACUCCUGUUUCCUCCACCAUUCUCUCAUGUCUGGGCUCUUGUAUGUCCAUUCCUUGUGAUGAAUCUCGAGGGCAUGGAAGGAAACUCUUCAUUUGGUAAUCCUGGCCAUAAUGUUUGCAAUUGUGUCUCUCUUUUUGGGGGUUUUCCGAAGGUUUGAAGAGUUAUGGUUGGAAUGAGAGCAGAGAUUGCUAAGACAUUAAAAGCAAUGAAGUUUAUUGUAAAAUGACACAUACAAAUCCCUUGUCUUACACUGAAUAAUGCAAAAAUUGAUGAUCGCUCCUUAACAAGCUGCAGAAGCUUCUUCACCAUCUUCUUCUUCUUUGUCCUUUUUUUGGCUCCUGAAACGGGUAAUCCAAAGUGGGACAAUCAGCAGUGUUCGAAGAAGGCACAAGUUGAUGCAGCACUAACUAGGAAAAGUACAGAUGGGAUGCUCUCUUCUCGAGCCACAGCUGCUGCCCAAGGUUGUAGAAAAUCAUAAAUUACAAGGUCAAGAAAAUAGUCUUUUCCUUCAUCAAAGGCAAUUUUGAGGACAGGCAAGAGAUGUGGUGGAAGGAUUUUGGUGGAGUGAUACUCUAGGAGGGAGUUCUAAGGUUGAAGGAAGAUAAUGAAUGUCUACGAAACGAAUCGAAGAAGAAUAAUUGUAUUUUUCAGCAAGAUAUUCUGAAAAUGGACAUAAAUUAACAGGGGUGGAACAUAUAUAUACCUGGA